UUGAAACACGUAGGCGAUGGAAUUUGUUUUUAUAAAUUGAGAGCAUUCAUGUGCUUGGAUUAGGGCUGGGAUAAACGAAUAUUUUUUAAACGAUUAAUCUAGCGAUUAUUUUUUUGAUGCAUCGAUUAAUCUAACGAUUAAUUUUUUCCAGAUCGAUUCGAUUUCGAUUAUCUCCCCAUUAAUUGACAACUAACAAUUUAUACAUGUUGAUUUACAUAUCUUAAUUAAAAAAAACAUGAAUUCCUUAACAUUGCAAUAUAUGUUUAUUGCUCUUAAAAUUACAAAAUAAAAGACUGACUAAGAAUGCAUUACUUUGCACUUUAUAUAUAAGAGAUAGCAUUCAAUAAAACCUUGAAGCCUUGAAAACACAUAGCUUACUGAAACAAGCUUACUGAACACAUAGGGCCUAGCUUACUGAAAAAAAGUUUUUCUUUCAGAUGAAAAUAACAACAACUUGAUGUCUAGCAUUCAAUAAAAAAGGUCACCCAAAAUACUUGUUUAGAGCAAUUGAAAGAAUACAGUAACCAAUGUAAACUUGAGGGCUUUAAGCUAAUACAUAUAUUAAGCUAAUACAAAAAAAAAAUAAUUUACAGUGGGAGCCAGCAGCCUAUCAUGGAGAAAAAAAAUCUCUGAAUGCUCCACGUGAAACUUUAACGUUUCGCCCUUUUUCUGUCGUGUUUAAUGAUUUUGGUUAAUAUGCACGAGAGAGAGAGAGACAGCGCUCGUGUAGUUUGAAGACUGAGUGCGCGAGUGCGCGUGAAACUUUGGUGUUUCGUCCUUUUUCUGUCGUGUUUAAUGAUUUUGUUGUUUUAUUGUACAUCACUCACCGAUCAAAUAAGGCUUUGACAGCCGCCAAAAAAAAAGAUCAAUGCAGAAAAAACCCUGGAUUGGUUACAUAACGUUGGUCAGAAUCUUGAUCCGGCCAUCGCAUAUAUUCAGCCCACAUAAGGUAAACGUUUUGCAAACGUUUUUUAGAGAAAUAAAAACAGGUCGACGAAUCGAUGCACAUAUUAAUAUAAAUCUACCAGUCGUGGAGAGAGCUUUGGAAUUCUGGCCAUCAGUGACCAUGUACAUGGAUGCAAUCAGGAAAAAGAAGCUACCGAUUCCGUUCCUUGCCAAAGACUUGGCUGAGAUGAUGAAGGUAAUUCUAUUACUGCACUCUACUCUGAUAAUGCUAAUAAUUAAUCUGAUCAUUUUAAUUGUAAUCUUAUGGAAGUUUGCAUAGCUUAGCGGACAAUGAUAUUAAGCAAACAAAAAGAACAAUACUUGUUAUAAUAGUAUACUACAAUAGUCUUUUUAUGUUGAAUGUCAAUUAAUUAAAUUGAAAUAAAUUAAAUGAAAUAUUUGAGUAACAUUCUUUGUGUGUCUUUUGGCAGAGUAUGCUGAGGCGUUUUGUCAAGAAAGAGGGAUUCAAGGAUAUGAGUUCACUGCAGCUGGUCAGGCUAGAUGUCAGUGACAAACAGAGCAGGAAGUAAACAUGGGAUUGGGUGCAGAAUCACUCCUUAAGGUGAUGUUAUAAUCCAGCAAUUCAAUAAAUUUUUAUCUGUUGAAAAUGAGAGCUUAUUCUCAUACAAACCAACAGAAACGAGGCUAGACAUAUUCCUGCAUGGAGUUCUUGGGCAGCGCGAUGAGUUAUGGAGCUUUUGCAAGAAACUGCUUCUCCUGUCCCAUGGGCAGGCAACAGUGGAGAGAGGAUUCUCCAUUAAUAAAGAAGUGGAGACCUGCAAUAUGCAGGAGGAGACAAUGGUCAGUCAUCGACUAAUAUGUGAUUGUCAGCAUCUGUGGGGGGCUCCUCAAUGUCCCUAUCUCAAAGGAGUUACUGGCCUCUGCUGCAUCUGCUAGUUCAAGAUACAGAAUGCACCUUGAUCAGCAGAAAAAAAAUCCAAAUCACUGAUGUCCAGGCACAGAAGCCCAAAGCUUUGGAAGACAACAUCGAGGACCUGAAAAAAAAGAAGAGAAUACUGGUCCAGGUAUCUUCGAGCCUGCAGAAGGAUGCUGACCAGCUUGCAGAAGAAGCUGAGGGAAAAGCUGGCACCUUGAUGGCACAGCUCAUUACAAAAUCCAACACACUGAGGAAGCGAUAUAAAGAAAAAACAAAUGAAUUACAACAAAUUGAGACAGAGUUGGAUACAAAGGGCAAAGAACUGAGAUCUAUACAGUAAAAACCCAAUGUUCCGAUUAUUGGCAUGCAGUGUACAUGCCUCAUGUUACUGCUGUGCAGUUUGUCUGUCGAUGAUCUGCCUAAUGUUUAGUCAGUCUUUGCACUAUGUUUUGCAAUUUAUUGUUCUUUCACGCCUUCAAUAUGUCAAUAAACAAUGUGUGUUAAGGAUCUUAAUUGGUAGUAUUGUUUGCUGUUUGAAAAUUGGUUGAUAUGAAAUUGGUCUUAAAUUUAAUUCUGCAUGGUAUUAAAAAGGUCUUAAAAAGUCUUAAAUCUAACUUUCAGAAACCUGCAGAUACCCUGUACAGUAUACAUUAUUAUAUACAUCAUCUGCUGGUGUUGGUCCAUUGUUUUUUUGAAAACCAAAGUCACUGCACCUGUUUACCAGGAAAUUAUGGAGCACUUCAUGCUUCCUUCUGUUGACCAGCUUUUUGAAGAUCCUGAUUUCAUUUCCAGCAGGAUUGCCACCUGCCCACACUGCCAAAAGUUGGUUAAAUGAACAUGGUAUUGGUGUGCUUGACUGGCAAGGAAACUCACCAGACCUGAAUCCCAGAGAGAAUCUGUGAGAGUUCAUUGAAGAAAAAGAGGAAAAUGAAGAAUCAAAUGAAGUUGAG